rnacentral:rRNA from 1 species
GACGAACGCUGGCGGCGUGCUUAACACAUGCAAGUCGAACGGAAAGGCCCUGCUUUUGUGGGGUGCUCGAGUGGCGAACGGGUGAGUAACAAGUGAGUAACCUGCCCUUGACUUUGGGAUAACUUCAGGAAACUGGGGCUAAUACCGGAUAGGAGCUCCUGCUGCAUGGUGGGGGUUGGAAAGUUUCGGCGGUUGGGGAUGGACUCGCGGCUUAUCAGCUUGUUGGUGGGGUAGUGGCUUACCAAGGCUUUGACGGGUAGCCGGCCUGAGAGGGUGACCGGCCACAUUGGGACUGAGAUACGGCCCAGACUCAUACGGGAGGCAGCAGUGGGGAAUAUUGCACGAUGGGCGGAAGCCUGAUGCAGCAACGCCGCGUGCGGGAUGACGGCCUUCGGGUUGUAAACCGCUUUCGCCCGUGACGAAGCGUGAGUGACGGUAAUGGGUAAAGAAGCACCGGCUAACUACGUG